CUUGCUCCCUGAUGUUAGCGGCGGACGGGUGAGUAACACGUGGGUAACCUGCCUGUAAGACUGGGAUAACUCCGGGAAACCGGGGCUAAUACCGGAUGGUUGUUUGAACCGCAUGGUUCAGACAUAAAAGGUGGCUUCGGCUACCACUUACAGAUGGACCCGCGGCGCAUUAGCUAGUUGGUGAGGUAACGGCUCACCAAGGCGACGAUGCGUAGCCGACCUGAGAGGGUGAUCGGCCACACUGGGACUGAGACACGGCCCAGACUCCUACGGGAGGCAGCAGUAGGGAAUCUUCCGCAAUGGACGAAAGUCUGACGGAGCAACGCCGCGUGAGUGAUGAAGGUUUUCGGAUCGUAAAGCUCUGUUGUUAGGGAAGAACAAGUGCCGUUCAAAUAGGGCGGCACCUUGACGGUACCUAACCAGAAAGCCACGGCUAACUACGUGCCAGCAGCCGCGGUAAUACGUAGGUGGCAAGCGUUGUCCGGAAUUAUUGGGCGUAAAGGGCUCGCAGGCGGUUUCUUAAGUCUGAUGUGAAAGCCCCCGGCUCAACCGGGGAGGGUCAUUGGAAACUGGGGAACUUGAGUGCAGAAGAGGAGAGUGGAAUUCCACGUGUAGCGGUGAAAUGCGUAGAGAUGUGGAGGAACACCAGUGGCGAAGGCGACUCUCUGGUCUGUAACUGACGCUGAGGAGCGAAAGCGUGGGGAGCGAACAGGAUUAGAUACCCUGGUAGUCCACGCCGUAAACGAUGAGUGCUA
rnacentral:rRNA from 1 species